rnacentral:rRNA from 1 species
UACGGGGGGGGCAAGCGUUGUUCGGAAUUACUGGGCGUAAAGGGCGCGUAGGCGGCCUUCUAAGUCGGACGUGAAAUCCCUCGGCUUAACCGAGGAACUGCGUCCGAUACUGAAAGGCUUGAAUCCGGGAGAGGGAUGUGGAAUUCCGGGUGUAGCGGUGGAAUGCGUAGAGAUCCGGAAGAACACCGGUGGCGAAGGCGGUCUGCUGGGCAGUUGCUGACACUGAGGCGCGACAGCGUGGGGAGCAAACAGG